UCAAAAUAAACCACUCAGUAUUCCGUCUGGGUAAACAAGCGCUGUAACAUGGAAAUAUGGCCGAGUGGGAACCCUAACCUAUAAAAGGCUCUAGCAAAGAGGAUUCGAAACAAAGAGUUGGAUUUAGCUAGAAGCUCAGUUACAGCCGAUGCCAGUACGAAGAGGGCAGAAGACAAACAUGACAAUACCGAGUGGUGCCUGGGCUUCUUCCUGGAGUGGAAUCUAGAUGGAGAGAAACAGAAUUCCUUUGCCUGUGUGUGUCAUUGUAGCAGAGCUGUAUCCCAUGAACUGUAUCCCUCUCGAUGGAUUGUACAUUAUGCUGGAUUUCAAGCAGAAGAUGACUCAAGAGGAGCUGAAUGGCAGUUUGAUCAUGACAAUACUCCUCCCACAGCUGUACAAGUAUGGCUCCCAAGUGACGUAGUGGUCUAAGACACUUCAUCUCGGUGCAAGAGGCGUCACUGCAGUACCUGGUUAGAAUCCAGGCUGCAUCAYAUCCGGCCAUGAUUGGGAGUCCCAU